rnacentral:tRNA from 1 species
GGAGGAUGUGCUCAAUGGUAGAGUGCAUGCUUAGCAUGCACAAGGUCCUGGGUUCAAUCCCCAGUACCUCCA